GUGCAGGGGCUCCCAGCAGCCCUGCCAGGAGCCACAGCGGAAGGCGGAGGCUGGAAAGGCACCCUGUGUCCUGAGCUAAACUUUGCUUCUGGUUGCAGUGAGGGGACUAGAGAGAGGGACGGGCUGCAAGAUGUCCUCUCUUCCCCUUGUGCUCCUGGAAAAAUAAAAGGAUCAAACAUCUCAAAAGAAUACUGAAUUAGCAAAGACUUCAGUGGUCACCACUGGUCUUUGCCCCUGCCCUGGGCUCUCUAACCUGGCCCUCCCUCGAAGCAAGACCCGGGGAGGUGAUGCAAACGAAGUGCCCAGGCCAGCACUUGCUGGCGAGUUUGGAAAAAGGGAAUUCGAGAAGACAUGGGAAAAGCUCCGGCCUUGUGACUUUUCUGGUGUUUCGGAGCCGUUCUGUGCCUGACUGGGCAGCAUCUCGAAGCGUCCUCGGGCACCCCGACUCUGCCACCUGUGAAUAGGUACAUUGAUUUGUGGUUGGAAGAUGCCAAGUGCCCAGCCCAGGGAAUUGUCACCUGGGUGGUUGACGCGCGUGUCCUGAGCCCCAUCGAGCGCUGAAGAGAUGUGGUGUGUUGCUAAUAAAUCUGGCAUGUGUCAACAUUCA